rnacentral:tRNA from 1 species
UUAUUGGUAGGUUAUUUAAACUGGUAGAUUGUGGUUCUGCAGAAUGUGCAUUUGUCACACCUGUAAU